UAGGUUACACAGAAAUUGACCUACUAGGCUACACAGAGAUCUAACUACUAGGUUACACAGAGAUCUAACUACUAGGUUACACAGAGAUCUAACAUUAGGUUACACAGAGAUCUAACUACUAGGUUACACAGAGAUCUAACUACUAGGUUACACAGAGAUCAACGUACUAGGUUACACAGAUAUCUAACUACUAGGUUACACAGAGAUCUAACUACUAGGUUACACAGAGAUCUAACUACUAGGUUACACAGAGAUCUAACUACUAGGUUACACAGAAAUCGACCUACUAGGCUACACAGAGAUCUAACUACUAGGUUACACAGAGAUCUAACUACUAGGUUACACAGAGAUCUAACAUUAGGUUACACAGAGAUCUAACUACUAGGUUACACAGAGAUCUAACUACUAGGUUACACAGAGAUCUAACUACUAGGUUACACAGAAAUCGACCUACUAGGCUACACAGAGAUCUAACUACUAGG
ensembl:lncRNA